GCGACUUUAAGAACAGCCCGCUUCUGAUUUUUGAAAAUAUGUUUUCUUUUAAUCUGAUGGCCAGUCUUGUUUCUUAAAUCGCUGGAGCUAGUAUGGCAGGAGGAGACUUGUGUGCUUGCAGCUGAAACGACCCACAGGGAAUGGAAAGCCUACAUGGUUGAGAGCACAGAAAGAGGAGGAGUAGAGACGCAGGAGCUGCCGCUAUCAAGCCAGCACACACCCCUGAGCACUUCCUUCACUACGCAAGCAAAACACCAGCACCACGACUCCCAGGAUUUAAAGAAAACUUUUUUGUGCACUGUGGUCCUGGAUUGGGAAUUUAUUGUAUAUUUUAAGCCCACCGUGUACCCCCGAUACCAUCGCUGGUAGAGGGGCGACCCUUUAUGUUAUUUAUUA